GGGAGCCUGCCCUCUCCGCUGGGCACUUACUGUAUAUUCUGCGGUAACUGCUCGUACUCGCAUUUAGGAGCGACAUUGACCUCGCAGCGAGAGCUACAGAGGGAGCAGGGGCACCUGCCCAAAACAAGACUUGAAACGGGAAGCAUAGAGAGACAGAAAAUAGGAGAAGGAAAGAGAAACAAAAAGCGGAAGCAGGAGGAAAUAAGCAGAAAUAAACAUGUGAACUGCAGCUGUGCAGCCAAACCAGGCAUCGUCCUCAUCUCAGGAAUCCAGAGCUUAAGCAGCCUUCCGUUAAUCUGCAGAAACCCACCCUGUUCUGGAAGCCACUGAAACAGGACCAUCAGAUUCCUGAAACGGUGUUUCAAGUGUGUGGUUAACCUCAGGUCACAAGGCUUCAACAACUCUGCUGGAUGCUACUCUUCUGUUUAGAAAUGGGAUUCCAUACUGCAUCAACCCUGUGAUCCUACUGCUCAUGUGCUACUUGUGACUGGAGAUACAAAUAUGUCUUCAAUCCAGCAUUUUAUUUACAAGGAAAUUGGGCCAAAUUCCUCUCCUGUGAACUGAAAAAAUCCCUCUAGACUGUUUGGGGGGAAAAAAGGAGUGAGAAAAGGUUCCACAUUUUUUACAUUACUGUAUCUUUUGCUUGCAGUUUUGGGAAAAAGCAAUCUGUGUGCCACGAAAUCAAAGUAAUAGGGGAAAAAAAGCCACUUCAGCAUAUUUGCUGUGCAGCAGUGAGAAAACUCUGUCCUUGUCCCAGACAGCACAAUGUGUGCACAGAUGGAGGGCAGCGUGGCCCGAUACCAUGGUCCUUUGUUAAGCAAAAGCUCCAUCAGCUCUUGGGCCAAGCCCCCACCACCAGUGAGGCAGAUUUCCAAUGGCAAGCAAUAGGAAUGCAGGCGACAAAGACCUUGGCAGAGUCAGGCACUAGCGGACAGCAUUUCUGUGUUGCUUGGGUGCAGAUACAGUGCCAGGAGAGGUGGCUGAUGCCAUACGUAGCUGCACUGGUGGAUGCUGACAGCCUCCAAGUGCUCAGCCAUGCCUCGUGAACAGCAGUCUGCCUCUGGGUCACAGACCAGCAAUGACAGUGAAACUUAGCAGCAGAAAUAUUUAGCCCUGCUUUUCAUCCCAGCUCUGAGAAAGGAGCUGAGGUGAGUGUAGCCACUGCUGCCCACAGCUCUGGCUGCCCCAGGGGCCAUGCAGGAGCACUCUGUUGGGUCUCACCUGGGGAGGUCUCAUAUGCAGUGCUGUCGGGCCAGGCAGCCCAAACCCAGACCUUCUGUCCAGCACCCGCAGAGGGCCGGACAAUGGCUGGGCAUAAGAAAGCAGAGCAACUCCACGAAAGAAGGCAAUAGCAGCAUGAGGUCUCAGUUUUACUUACAUUAUCCAUAUCCACUUGGUCUGUGUCACAUGUCCUCUAGUUUUUAUAACACCUCCAUGCACAGGGGCAUCAGAAUUUAAGCAAGUAUUUUGCUUUAUCCUAUUAACUGGGAAAGUGCUUACCUUUUGCAGAAGAAAACACACAAGUCAACAAACCAGAAGACAGUUUAAAUGGCCCUCACUCUGCAGUUGGGCUUAUGAUAAACUCUUGGAAAGGAGAACCCACUGUUGCUUUCAUAUUUAAAAAGCAAUAGCAGUAGUCCAUGAACCAAAUCCAGAUCUGCUGGCCAAGUGUUACAUGGUAAGAUCCUGUAGCAGAAGACCUGUGUCCCCCAAGCCUGAAAAGUGAUAUUUUCCCUGGCAACAUAAGCCAGAAACUGCUGUGCUGCAUCACCAUCCCACAGCAGGCUCACAGCAGCAUUCAGCCUUGUCUGUUCUCCCAGAUGCUUCCCCUGCCCUGCCCUGCCCUGCCCUGCCUUCUCUCUUCCAGAAGAGCAGUGACUUGACCUGCAGGUGACAUUUGGGCAAGCAAAGGUGGGGCAGUGGCCUCCAUGCCAGCAACCACCCAGCUGGUGCUUGUGGUGAGCUGAUGGACCAGCAAGGGGCCACAGCUGGGGGCAGGUGCUGCCCACCUGUUCAUCACAGGUACCUGGCCUGCCUGGCUUCUCCAGGAGAUUAUUUCAGCAGUGCUCCCCACCUUAGCAGGGUUUGGGUGUUAUGGUGAGGACCUUAGGGAGUGAGGUUCUCCAAGUCUUGUGGUCCUUUUGGGAAUCCAGCUUUGGGGGCUGACUGGCCUGCAGGGGACCUGGGUUGGAGUCUCCAGCUCUGGUGGGGCUCCUCUAAUAGAGGUGGCCCUGCUCUGGCUUUCUUCUCCCAGCAAGAUAACAAACUGCAACUUUGGUUUCACCCAUCCAUUUGGGGGUGAAAGAGAUGCUUUCACGAUGCACCACGAGAAGCACCAACAAAAAGCUGAACCCAGCCAACACCCACUGAUGGGAGGGUGACUCACAAAUCCUCAGCUUGCUACGUGUGCCCUGCACUUCUUCAGCUUCACAGGACCUCAGAGCAUUUUUAUGGGGCGGUCAGAAGAUACUAUCUUUUGCAUUGUAACAACCCUCCGUGUCAUGCAGAGUUGUGCUGAAGAUCUCAGCUAUUGGCUCAGGAACAGGAAAAUAAUAGGCAGAGCUUGUCGGAGGUUGACUGUCCAAGUGCCGCUUCAGACAGUUCUUUGCCUGCUGGCAAGGCUGGCUGCAAGUCAGGAUCUCAGCAACUGCUGGGUGUCUGCUGAAGAAACAAAAUAAGCAUUUAAUAUGAUCACUAUCAGAUGUGUUGUUAUGCCAAGCACUUCCCAGCGCUGGUGCUGGCUUCUCUAGCUCAGCGUGCAGUCAUUGGAAGAGACAUUGCUACACGGUGAGUUGUUAUGGUACCUGGAAAGUGAGACUUGAUUUGUGAGGGCUUACGUUAUUCAACAUUAGGCAAGCAAUAAUUCUGCGUGGCCAUAAGCUGUCAGCCCCAGUCCUUCACUGGAGAAGUGUCAGGCAAAGCUCAGAUUCAUGUUUUGAUGACACAAAGUGUUUUGUGCCUUCUUGCCUGAGGCCUGAUGUUUGUCACAGCCUAGACAGCAGUGACAAAGAACAUGAGGCAUGGGGUUUUCAUGAAGAAUAAUGCUAUUUGUCAGUCACUUCGAUCCAGGAUAUUUUUAAUGGGUUUAGCCCUGCCCAGUUGAUGUGCUACAGCACGUUCUUGUGAUGCUUUUACACUAUUAAACAUAGAUGAAUAAUUGACAGUAUUUUACUGUAAAACAUGGUAGGUUUGUCUGACUGUUUUUCAAGUCAGGCAACUUGAUGCUAACCAGAGAGACUUAAGUCAGGGUUUUCCCCAUUGGCUCUGAGCUAGAAUUAUUGCCUCUUUAAAUUUUAUUAUGACAAAGCCAUGACUUGUUUUCCUUAUUUUUCCCCCCUCUUUUUAUUACUAUGGCAAACAACCAGGCUUGCAUAAAAUAACCAUUGUCAAUAGACGAUAUCAUCUGGCAACAGUGAUCAUACUCAAUGGAUUAAAACUGAAAGGCUGUCACCAUCUGUGUGACUGUGGCAAAGCCUUACUUCCAUGUCGUAGCUGUUCUCCCCUUGAACAUACAAGGAUGUUUUCAGCUGAUUGCAAUGAGUUUUGGAGAAGGUUGUCAUUGGCUAUAUGAUUUUCUGAACUGUGUUGCCAGUUAUUAUAAUUAUUGGCGUUUAUGUAAGCUUUUUCCCCUCCCAUGCAAUCUAUUCUGUCCUGCUCAGGUGCUGUGCUCGGUUUCAGGAUCGACUUGGAGGUUCCCGUUCAUUCUACACUUGGUGAUGCCAGAUGCGUACCAUUAAGUCUCACUUGACUUGUAAGCUACAAAACAAAACCUGGUCUGUGUGAAAAACAAAAUUCAUAUUCAAUCACAAAGACCUUCAACAAUGGCAGAAGGAAAUACUGGAACAUUACUAUGAGGCAAAGAGCUGCCUGGAUCAAGUGCUCUUACUUGAGAAUUUGUCCUGGCGUGCAGGCCCUUCUCACAAUUUAUCUCAUGCCUGCUGUCUGAUGCAAGGCCAAGCAGGGAAGAAGUCUUUGUGUAUGACCGAGACAAUUCUUGAUGUUCAGUUUUUAUCAUUUAAUUUUCUGCCUUUCAUGUUAGUUCAGCCUUCAAAAUUUGUCAUUAUAGAUUCAAUAUAAACUGCUGCAGUAGAGACCUAGGUGAGCAGCUCCAGCCAGAACCAAGUUAUAUUUCUGAUAAGAGUAGAAAAACUAUUUAAAAACAAAAAAUAAACUACAAAAAAAAAAGGCACUAGCACUCACAAAAAUAAAUAAAUAAACACAAACUCAAAAAGGGUCCUGUGCCUGGCCUGUUGCACUGAUGCUGUUGCUAUCCUUGUCCCCAAAGCAGCUGGCCCAGCAGAGCAGUGGCAGAGGUGAGCCCCAGGCAGCCACUGGCCAGGCUCUAUCCCAGCCUCUGUGGAGCUGCAGCCCUGUCCAGCGGAGCAGCGCAGCCUUGUCAGGGCUCCCUGAUGGCCAGUGGCAGAGCGAGGGGCACCACAGCGCUGGGGGGAGCAACUGGUACCAGUUUUUCACCACAUGGACACAGAAAGCUACAGUGGUGGAUUUCUACAAUGGAGAAGUAUAUGAUUUUGAUUUGCGGUGGGACUCCUGGAAGUGCUGAGGGUUCCUGGUCCUCUGACCUGCAUCUUAUUUCCCAUGCAAGGGAGAUAGGGCACUUGGUGCAUCUGCAAGGUCGACAGUAUCAGUGUAUGGGCUCUGUGUCCUGCUGGCCCUGGCCCACCUCUCAUCAGUGGGGGCAUGGAAGAUUCAUGUAGUGGCCCAGUGUUAGCAGACAGCCUGUUUGGUCGGUUACUUGCAGACAUACUGGUUGGUGUGGCAGCUGCAGCUGAAGGUCCACAUGGCUUUUCCUGAUGCUUUGAAGGAUAAUACCUGUGCAGGGAUGUCUUGAGGGUAUCCACCGUUCUUGGCUUCCCUUUGAGUGCAAAAUAAUAUGGAUUUGGCCUGUACUAAGGAAAACAGGCCUUUAUUUUCCUGCUACAACCUCUUCAUACAGAUCUGUUGGCUGAUGCCUUGGGGCUGGGGGAGAUGCAGCUUUGCUUGCCACAUCUUUUCUAUGCCCACCUGUAGGCUGUUUGCCCCAGCAUGGGGACAGUGGCUAGCCAUGGGAUCUUCAGAGAAGCAGGGGAGCACUUCCCAUGCCUUUGUUUUGUUUUGUUUUGCUGACCUAAAUCUUUGUUAAAAGUCAAGACAAGUAAUGUCUAUAAUCUGACACAGGCUCCUCUCUGGCAUCAUACUCAAAGAGGGGAGCAGCUUUCAUCAUCUUUCUGCAACAAGAAGAAGACUCUGAAUGUUACCAAGCGAUUAAAAAUCAGAGAGGAGGGAAUGCUGAGGACUGUAGCCAGCUCAAGAAGUCCCAGCUCUCUGUGAGCCAGGCUAUGUACUUUUAUGUGUGUUAAGUUUAACACUUCCCAGUCUCACUUCAGCGGAUUUAAUUUUCUCAGAAUAAAUUGUUAGCAUUUUUAUAACUUUGACACAAUUAUUUUGGAGACUUCUUUGAAAGGGGGUUUUGCUUCAAAGCUCAAACAAGACCAUUUGAGUGAAUUUCUGGCUCUAAGCAUGGAUGUUGUUUUCAAUGAAUCUGUCUGUCGAGACCUAUACAAAAAGGAAAGCUAAGCUGUCUCAUUAUUUUCAAAUCUGCAGUGCCAUCACAGUCAUCCAAACUGAUGGUCCUGAAAAGUAGCAUCUGAUCAUCACUGUUUUCACAUGCAGGAAAGUCAUCUGAUGAAGAAAAUAGGUAGACCAAGUUCAGAUGGUUCUUCAGUUAAAAAAAAAAAAAAAAAAAAAACCUUGAUAGUAGCAUUUCAGCUUGCUGCCCUUACCAUCCCUCGUGCAUUAAUUGCUCUGGAUGUUAGCUUGGGCGCUUCAUGUCAAUGAUGUUCUGGAGAUAGCGCAUGAAAACUUUACCUUUGGGAAACAUCAUGCCCUACACCACUUAGGGCUUUCCAAAGCAAAACCCAUGUUCUUUUGGCCAGGAAGACAAUAUGGGAGACAGAGCAUGCAGAAAAGGUUUUGUUUGGUUUUGUUGGUUUUGUUUUAGCUUUGGAAGAGAAAGAAGUGUGUUCCUUGACUGUCUGGGGGGGGAUGUGAAGAGUGGCUUUUGCAUUGAAUGUGUACAGCAGUUCAUCAAAAUAUAUGGCUCUGGAAUGUUAUAGAAAUGAAUUGACACAUUGAUUUUAGUUGGAAAGAGACAAACACCAACAGGGUUUCUUGUGAGUGAUUAUACUAUAGAAGACCAAGAUGGGAAGAACGCAGUGAAACUCACUCCUGAUUGAGUACUGAAUGCAGCACUUCAGGUGCUCGUGGCCUUUGGAUGCUUCUUGGCCUUGCUUGUUUCUUUCUUCUUUGCUCAUAUUUGUCACUUGUGCUUUCCCUUACUCCAUUCAUAAUGCAUCCAGCUGUUCCUUGCCUCCCUGCACCAGGAAAUGCUUUCAGCUGCUCUCCAGGCCACUGGUUAGGAGUUGCACAGUCUUCACUAAGCUGGCAUAUGAGCCAGCAUGUGAACACUGUCCUGUCAGCCAGGACCAGCUGCGGCAAAACAAGGGCAUUACGGAGCUCCUGCAAGAAGGAAACUGCUGAGGUAAAAGCUUUGGUGGAUUUCAAGUUAUGCAUCCACUGUCAUUACACUCUUCCCUGCCUUUCAUUUCUCUCUCUGUAUAUGUACAUGAAAAGUUAGCCCAUUAGCUCUUUGUGGCGAAGAUUGGGUACAUGUUAUUAGCAAUAAAUACCUAAUCAUUGUGUAACAGCACUGAGAAGAAGAGGAUGCAGCGCUGGGAUCUCUUAGCUCCACAGCAGGAAUGCUGAUGGCUCAGAGUGGUUUCACUGACUUCAUUUGGGUUUGUUCCCUCACACUAGCAGAUGAAAAAUCAUUUAAGGUUACCAUGGUGGCUUUUAUUAGUGUUUUCAUUAAACAUCAUUGGACUGUUCCCUAGGAUUUUCAGAAACCUAGCCAAAAAUGAGCUGUGCUCUCAACUGAAUCAUGAGUUGCCCAGCUGUUGAAUUUCCACCUGCAGUGGGUACAUCGUGUUGCCUCCCUGGCACCAGUUGGAGCAAUAGCAACACAGAGGUACAGGGCAGCAGAACUGGCCCGAAGAAGCUGAGUGAACCAUCGGCUGUUAUCUGGUGCGUGCAGUGGCUGUUCUGCACCUCAACUGUGUGUUAGGGACUCCGAUUGUCCUCACGCUUUUUCUAAGCCAAGUAGAAGAGCAGUGUGGGGAAAAUGGGAGUCCUUAACACAAUCAUAAUUGCCUACUGAAAAACAUAUUUAUAGAAGAAUAUUUUUUACAGAUAAGCUGUAAAUAUUGUUCAGCUCUUGACGGAGGUUGCAAAUGAAUGUUCACUUGAGUACUAGGAGCCCAACGCUACAAAAUUGCUGCUCAUGCAUUCAGUGCUGUCAUGGUGCUAGCAUGGGCACAUCUGCAGGCAGAAAGAAUGCAAAACGUCAGAGAAGCUCUUGCUGUUUGCCAAAGGUCCUAAGGGAAUCUUCUGUUUCAUUCGGUAGUAAUGCCCUUUUUGUUGACAAAAGUAAAUUGAUGAUAGGUGAGAGGGAAGCAUUUGUUGGAAAAAUUCUGUUGACCCUUCUCAGAUUGAAUUUGACCACAGAACAGGAUACCAGCAGUUGCAGAAAUGAUAGAUUAUCGUAAUGACCAGCAGAAUGGCCUUUUGGCAUGUUUAAAUGGCAAUAAAUUUCACUAGGAAGAGGGCAAUUUAACUACUUUUGGGCAAUGAGGAUGCUCUUUGUUUGAGGUGUAAAUAAAUUGCGGUUCAUUAACAGUGCACGUAUUACGUUCAUGGUGUAACUCUAAAGCAGGGGAUGUUAAUAUUUAAUUUAAUUUAGGCAGAUAUGCUCUGCCUCUCUUACCUUUUCCUGACUCUGGAUUGCUCAGCUUCCUGUGGCAGUGACUGAGGUUACCUUGAACCUCCUCAGACCCCACCAGCACAGCUCCAGCUUUCCUGAACAAACCAGGGUGCGCAACAAGGAGCGGGGCUUAAGCUUAUGUUUCCAGAUGACACCACUGUGCCCUUUGGUACCACUUUUCACCAGCAAUGCCCUUGCCUUUUGGGAGGUGGCUAUAUGUGCAAUUGCGUAGCUGGGAGAACUGUGGAGCCAAAGCCUUGUUGGUGUGACCUACACCCGUGCACGAGCAAAGACAAGGCACUAGGUGAAGCAGAUGGCAGCAGAACUGCAGUGGUGUAACCACUGAGAAUUUAUUUCUCACCUUUUACCUUGACUCCCAAAUUCCUUGUGUCCCUUGCUCAUUAUUUUGGCAUCGUUCCUUGCUGAACUCAGCUGUUAGAGGAGAAGGGGGUUGGGGAAGAGAAAUUUGACAUUUUCUCAAAAAGAUUGUAUUAAAAUCCACUUACAUUUAGAGCGUGUGCUCAUUUUGGAAUGCUAAUAAGGCAUCAUUUCAUCAAGGUAAAGGGAGCAAAAUCUAAUCAAGCCAAAGAUCAGCUCGUCUUGCUGUUGACUGUGUUCCUGAGACAUCCUUUUAAAAGGUUGCUUUUAAGUCUGUCAUUUUUAGCUAUGUUUAACAGAAGUUUAUAAAUAACCGUAUCACUUGGCUACUUACCUCUGCCUGUAAUAAGGGAGCCUUAUUUCUCUAUUAAAGAUUGCAGGGUGGGCUGUAAGCUUAUAUCCAUGCUGUUGUUUAUACCAGCAGGCACACCUUCCCCCAGCAUCCCUCUCAGGGGGCAGGAAGGCCAGGAUGUUUCCACCUCUUGGCCACCAUCUUCAAUAAAAAGAACUGGGCCAGGACUACUCUUCUGGUUUGGAAAAAAACACAGGUCAACAGAAGAACAACAUUGAAAAGCCAUGUUCUAAAGCCAAACAAAUCAACAAGAAGUGGUCCUGAAAAACAUCAUUGCAGAGCAGGGUUCUGAAGAAAUGACUAAGAAUUUGUUUAUGGAAAAAAAAAAACUUCAGGCACAGUGGGCAACCCUUUCAACAUCUACAUGGACAGCUGUGCUUGCAAAGUAAAUUACUGAUGGCAAUAAAGUACUGAGAUUCAGGCAGCUGCCUCAAGUUGGUGCCCUUGGGUUGGGCUGAGCAUUUCCCCAGAUCAGUACCCCAGUGCUUGGCAGGGGCUUUUGUGGUGAGGUUGAGAUGUGGCUCUGAUGAAUGGUUUGCGAGCAGCUACACUGGACAGGGCACCUCCCUGAGAAAGCCUCCAUCUGUACCGCAGCCUCUCAGCAACCACCUACGGUCUGCAGGCACGUGGGGGGGGCAGAAUAACGUCAGAGAUAACAAGUGGGUCAAGGCCCAGCAUAACGGUGUAACUGAGGUAUACCUUUGGUGUCACACCUGGAUAAAAAAGAUAAAUCCGGAAGGCAUCACGGAAACAGGGAGAGUCAGUGUGACUUUGCUGGCAUACUCUGUGUUUUCCUACCAGCAUGCACCUGUGCAGUUUUCCACAUCAAUCCCUCCAGCUUUUCCCUAUUUCUGCUACCUUGUUGAUAGCUUCCCAGUGGGCACUGGUUUAAGGAGGGAGCACCUCUUGAGGGUUACGCUGGUUUCUGUGCCAGAUAGGGUGAGGCAUGUUUCUGGGAAGGUUGCUAAUCCAACCCAUGAGAGUACAGCUGCAAAGCUGAAUUGCGCUGUUGUGAUCAGGCAUCGCUGCUGCACCUAACUUUUCUGCUGCGUUUGGCUGUCUUUAUCAGGGCUCACUUGGUUCUUAUCAAUACCUGUAGACAGAAUAGAAGGCAUCAGGAAUUUUCUAUUCCUGUUUUACUGCUUGAACAAGAAAUUGGGAGAGUUCAAUGAUUUGCCCCUUCUCUCAUCUAAGAUGAACAACAGACCCAGAGGGGAUGUGCAGUUUUCAUGUCUCCAUCCAGGUCAGGCUCUUGGCCACAGGAGCACCUUCAUCUUCCAUUUUCUUUGGCCACUUAUGCUUUUGAAGGUCUCUCACCUCUCUGUGUGUUUACUAUUUUACUUCUAAAGCCGGCAAAAUUAGCAUUAUUUUUAUUUUCUUCAGUGAUUAAAGUCUGAGUUUGAAGAUUGCAUUAAAGUAAACUGCAAUUACAGAUGGCUCACUGAGAUACCUUCAUUUUAGUUCCAGUGAAGAAGAAAACAUCAUUGGCAGUGCAUUCUUUUGAUUUCUUCCCUUUGUGCCCAUUGCCCGCUUAAGGUUGGUACCCUCUAAAGGGUCAACGUUGUGAUUUUUUGUCGCAGUAGCAUAUUGUGGAAAUGCUAUUAAUGCAUGUUGAAAGAGAAAGAAGCACAGCAUAUUGCAUUGUUCUCAUUUUGAGAGAAGAGCAAUACUGCCAGCUCUGAGUGCUUUCUGAGAAACUGAGUAGGAGGGAAAACCAUUCAGUAGCGGAUGCCUAUCCUGACUCUAUCACUUCUCCCUCUCAAGCCUACUUUUUAUUAUUUAUUAUUUGUAUUAGUGAUUAUUUAUAUUCACUAUCAUUUAUACUUCUAAGUUAAUUUAUAGUUAUAACACACUCAUCAUACAAUAUUAACCAAUCUAUAACACUGUCAUUGAUGGCUGUUUUUUUCAUUAUCCUUCAUGAAUAUUUCAGUGUAGCCUGCCUGAUUCUUCUAUUUUAGAAAAACUUUCAGAAGUGCUAUGUUGUCAAGCCCUGUGAAUACUAAGCUACCCAUCCAAAUGUUGUUGAUUUUGUCUCCUCAGGCUUUUUUACGCGUGUUACAACAAACGCAUUGUGUGGAUGCACAUGUAUACUGAUAGGAAGCAUCAGCCGUAUGCUUGGAGCCGUGUUGUUAUUGAGCAGAGCAUGGUUUAAUUACCUCCUACUUGGGAAUUUAAAAUGUGAGGAUUGAAGCUUGCCUGUUUUUGUUGUUUGUUGUUUGCUUUGCUUUGUGUUUUUUUGUUUGAUUUUUAAGAGCAAUGCAGGCUUUGAUUUAGUGAUGGGAUUUCCUAGGCAGUUCCCUUUCUGAAAUGAUCUGACAUUCACUACUGCUCUUUCUUCAUCCUCAGGAACAGCAGCACGGCUUUGUUGGAUCAAACUUGCUGGGCGUAGCAUCUUGACAGUGUAAGAGGAUAGGAACAAAGCUAUGCUGUGGUCAGUUCAGAGAUGUGCUGCCUCGGUUUUGUUACAACUUAGGUAUUGCCUGGGCCGGGAGGGUUUCUUCUCUUGCAGAAUGAUUCAAGCAUUGUCCAGCAUCAGGUGCAGAGUAUUUUUGGCUCCGUACACAGAGUCACAGAGUUUUGGCUCUGUCUCACAGUACAGUGAGACAACUAUAGUGACUACAGUUAAAACCACCCUGUGGUUGCAGGACUGCUUUUAUCAAGUCACAGGUUAUCAAAAUGUCUCAUUAAGCAAAAGGCUGUUAGCCUAGUCAGUAACUAGAAGAAAAGUUCUCUCUUCUCCCUCUCUGAAAGUGCUCCUGUGUCUGCUAGAACAUGAAGUACCUCCUAGAACAGCCGUAUUUCACCCAACUAGAGAUUUCUCCCUUGGUGCUCUCACAUACAGCCACGCUCUGUGAGCUUUGGAGCAGGAGCCUUUCUCAGGCCAGAAACCUCUGGCUUGAGGGUGAUGUCCAGUACAAAAAACCAGGAUAUUGUUUUCUGCAUGCACUUUCCCUACCUCUUCUCCAUGGGUGCCUGCGGGGAGCCACGGCCACCCCUGUCUGCCAGGGCGUCGUGCCUCCUGCUCAGCAGGAUGCCGUGCUGCCUUUGUCACCACUCUGCAGGCAGACCACGGGGGACUGGGCCCGUGGGGAGCAGGGUCUCUGUCUGGCUGCUGCCGAAGCCUCUCUCAAAGUGUCUUUGCAGGAAGGUGGCUUGGGGCGGCUGCAGAACAAGGGGAAGGAGCACUGCACCGAUGUAAGCAUGCCACGGUCCAAGCGUGCCAGCCGUAUCGGCACUAUAGACCAGAUGUGUGCUUUGCAAAUUAAUGAAAUGCCUUUUGAAAUGCUUUUAAGUAAAUGAGAGUUAAAUUCACGCUAAUUGCAUUAGCCUUGGUGGAGAGCACUGUCUGUCGGGGGCCACCUCAGCGUGGUUUUGGGUGUGCUGGGUGCGUGUAGCCAGGUUCCUCCAUCACAAGAGACAGGGGCCAGGGGUGCCGCCAGGACCCCCAGGGCUGGGAGCAGCAAGGGCCCGGACGGGGCUGAGGGGGAGCCCGGGCACAGCACGAGGCGGCCUCUAUGGCACCGGGGCUGCCCGCUCCAUCUCCGCCUGCUUUCUCCUUUCAGAUGGCACUGUGACAGAAGAUUAAUUCAAGUCAGCUGCUGAAAAUAAUUAUUGCAUUAUGGGAGCAGUAAUCAUUGUUUAGAACAUGAUUAAAUAUGUCUGCAUCUAUUGA